AAAAUUACCGUGGCUAGUUUUGUUUCGGGGCCUUUGUUACUUGAGUAAGUACGCCUGAAGGGGUAUCUUAAAACCUAGCGCCCUAAGGUCUUAUAUGGUCUGGGAGUCGUUGGUCGAAAGCUCGCUAAGGGGUGACACUGUUAGCCUAAUGGAAUGAGACAUUGCACAGUCACGGUUAAAAAUAAAAGUAAAAAAAAAACAACAAUAAAACGGGAAAAGAGCAAAAAGCCCCCGUAAUGAAAAGUAAAUAAUAAGUAUCCCGGAUUGGACUCUUGAACUUGGUGGAUGUUUGAAUUUUGUUGGAUUUAGCUUGUUCGUAAAUUUUGUGAGUUUGCACUGUAUGAUGCCUUCGAAGAUAUCUAUUAUGUCUUAAAUUUGAUUUUAUAUCAGUUAGCAUUGUUGUGGAGCACACACGCACUAUAUUAGUGAUAACAGUCUAAGAUUUGAUGAUUGAUUGGGAAAUUACUGAUUUGUUUUAAUAUGAUGUAUUAUCAUGUUUACUUGAUUUCUCUAAGGCCUG
rnacentral:lncRNA from 1 species